rnacentral:rRNA from 1 species
AUGUCAUCUCUCACAUGGCUAUGUGGUCUCCCCGGUUUUGUCUUUACAUUAUAUCUAUGUUGUACUACUGCUACCUCCCGCGCUACAGAAAGUAUUUUUUAUAUCAGCUUUGCUCUCGUGUGUGCAAGGAUUCCAUUCAGGCGUUCAAGACCUAGCAGGGCUUGGCCAACCGGCCCUUCGUGUUUGAAGAUCCCUGACACCCCAUGCUACCAGCCGGGCAUCUUCUUCCUGAGCCAUGUCCGGAACCAGACCAGCAGGGGCACCAUGAGCGAGUACUCAAGGCAUGUCGUCAGGUCGGAGGGGUACAACCAGGCCAGCUGCCGUGUGUGUCCACGGUUCAUACAGUCAAGGUGUUCGCUCAUCUCCCAAGAUGAGCCAGAACGAGCAUUACAAGAUGAACCCCCCAUAUUUUCCAUUCCUUGA